rnacentral:lncRNA from 1 species
UGCAUUGAUCUUCUACUGUUGCGAGGAUUUUAUCUAAGUGUUCUUGUCACCAGUUGGCUUGAGUAAUUUAGUUUUAAGUACUCACUUGUGUUUGGCGGUGAUCUGGGAUAGUGGGCAAAAAUAUUUUGAGAGAAAAUUUACGACUCACAUUCACCCCUCUUUGGUCACUGUUUCUGGUCUUCAUUCAUUUGCUCACAAAUCUUCAGAGACAAUAACAUAGGCAUUAUCGGGCACUGGC